UACGUAGGGUGCGAGCGUUAAUCGGAAUUACUGGGCGUAAAGCGUGCGCAGGCGGUGAUGUAAGACCGAUGUGAAAUCCCCGGGCUUAACCUGGGAACUGCAUUGGUGACUGCAUUGCUGGAGUAUGGCAGAGGGGGGGUGGGAAUUCCACGUGUAGCAGUGAAAAUGCGUAGAGAUGUGGAGGAACACCGAUGGCGAAGGCAGCCCCCCUGGGGCCAAUACUGACGCUCAUGCACGGAAAGCGUGGGGAGCAAACAGG
rnacentral:rRNA from 1 species